UACGAAGGGGGCUAGCGUUGCUCGGAAUUACUGGGCGUAAAGGGAGCGUAGGCGGAUAGUUUAGUCAGAGGUGAAAUCCCGGGGCUCAACCUCGGAACUGCCUUUGAUACUGGCUAUCUUGAGUAUGGGAGAGGUGUGUGGAACUCCGAGUGUAGAGGUGAAAUUCGUAGAUAUUCGGAAGAACACCAGUGGCGAAGGCGACACACUGGCCCAUUACUGACGCUGAGGCGCGAAAGCGUGGGGAGCAAACAGG
rnacentral:rRNA from 1 species